rnacentral:rRNA from 1 species
UGGGGAAUUUUGGACAAUGGGCGAAAGCCUGAUCCAGCAAUGCCGCGUGUGUGAAGAAGGCCUUCGGGUUGUAAAGCACUUUUGUCCGGAAAGAAAUCCUUGGCUCUAAUACAGUCGGGGGAUGACGGUACCGGAAGAAUAAGCACCGGCUAACUACGUGCCAGCAGCCGCGGUAAUACGUAGGGUGCAAGCGUUAAUCGGAAUACUGGGCGUAAAGCGUGCGCAGGCGGUUUGCUAAGACCGAUGUGAAAUCCCCGGGCUCAACCUGGGAACUGCAUUGGUGACUGGCAGGCUAGAGUAUGGCAGAGGGGGGUAGAAUUCCGACGUGUAGCAGUGAAAUGCGUAGAGAUGUGGAGGAAUACCGAUGGCGAAGGCAGCCCCCUGGGCCAAUACUGACGCUCAUGCACGAAAGCGUGGGGAGCAAACAGGAUUAGAUACCCUGGUAGU